UAAAUAACAUUGGUUUGGGUCUUAUCACC
rnacentral:piRNA from 1 species